rnacentral:rRNA from 1 species
AAGACUCCCGGCAAUGGAUAUCUUGGCUCUUGCAUCGAUGAAGAGCGCAGCGAAAUGCGAUACGUGGUGCGAAUUGCAGAAUCCCGUGAACCAUCGAGUUUUUGAACGCAAGUUGCGCCUGAGGCCAACUAGCCGAGGGCACGUCCGCCUGGGCGUCAUGC